GGUAAAAUGGCUGAAUUAUAGGCGAUAGAUUGUAAAUUUAUUUAUGGGAAAAAUCUCUUUUACU
rnacentral:tRNA from 1 species